ACCAAGGCGCUUGAGAGAACUCGGGUGAAGGAACUAGGCAAAAUGGCACCGUAACUUCGGGAGAAGGUGCGCCGGCUAGGGUGAAGGAUUUACUCCGUAAGCUCUGGCUGGUCGAAGAUACCAGGCCGCUGCGACUGUUUAUUAAAAACACAGCACUCUGCAAACACGAAAGUGGACGUAUAGGGUGUGACGCCUCCCCGGUGCCGGAAGGUUAAUUGAUGGGGUUAGCGCAAGCGAAGCUCUUGAUCGAAGCCCCGGUAAACGGCGGCCGUAACGAUAACGGUCCUAAGGUAGCGAAAUUCCUUGUCGGGUAAGUUCCGACCUGCACGAAUGGCGUAACGAUGGCGGCGCUGUCUCCACCCGAGACUCAGUGAAAUUGAAAUCGCUGUGAAGAUGCGGUGUAUCCGCGGCUAGACGGAAAGACCCCGUGAACCUUUACUGUAGCUUUGCACUGGACUUUGAGCCUGCUUGUGUAGGAUAGGUGGGAGGCUUUGAAGCGUGGACGCCAGUUCGCGUGGAGCCAUCCUUGAAAUACCACCCUGGCAUGCUUGAGGUUCUAACUCUGGUCCGUAAUCCGGAUCGAGGACAGUGUAUGGUGGGCAGUUUGACUGGGGCGGUCUCCUCCUAAAGAGUAACGGAGGAGUAUGAAGGUGCGCUCAGACCGGUCGGAAAUCGGUCGCAGAGUAUAAAGGCAAAAGCGCGCUUGACUGCGAGACAGACACGUCGAGCAGGUACGAAAGUAGGUCUUAGUGAUCCGGUGGUUCUGUAUGGAAGGGCCAUCGCUCAACGGAUAAAAGGUACUCCGGGGAUAACAGGCUGAUGCCGCCCAAGAGUUCAUAUCGACGGCGGUGUUUGGCACCUCGAUGUCGGCUCAUCACAUCCUGGGGCUGAAGCCGGUCCCAAGGGUAUGGCUGUUCGCCAUUUAAAGUGGUACGCGAGCUGGGUUUAGAACGUCGUGAGACAGUUCGGUCCCUAUCUGCCGUGGACGUUUGAGAUUUGAGAGGGGCUGCUCCUAGUACGGGAGGACCGGAGUGGACGAACCUCUGGUGUUCCGGUUGUCACGCCAGUGGCAUUGCCGGGUAGCUAUGUUCGGAAAAGAUAACCGCUGAAAGCAUCUAAGCGGGAAACUUGCCUCAAGAUGAGAUCUCACUGGGAACUUGAUUCCCCUGAAGGGCCGUCGAAGACUACGACGUUGAUAGGCUGGGUGUGUA
rnacentral:rRNA from 1 species